GAUGAACGCUGGCGGCGUGCCUAAUACAUGCAAGUCGAGCGAACGGACGAGAAGCUUGCUUCUCUGAUGUUAGCGGCGGACGGGUGAGUAACACGUGGAUAACCUACCUAUAAGACUGGGAUAACUUCGGGAAACCGGAGCUAAUACCGGAUGAUAUUUUGAACCGCAUGGUUCAAAAGUGAAAGACGGUCUUGCUGUCACUUAUAGAUGGAUCCGCGCUGCAUUAGCUAGUUGGUAAGGUAACGGCUUACCAAGGCAACGAUGCAUAGCCGACCUGAGAGGGUGAAUGGCCACACUGGAACUGAGGAUCGUUCCAGACUCCGACGGGGAGCAACAGUAGGGAAUCUUCCGCAAUGGGCGAGAGCCUAACGGAGCAACGCCGCGUGAGUGAUGAAGGACUUCUGAUCGGAAAACUCUGUUAUUAGGGAAGAACAUAUGUGUAAGUAACUGUGCACAUCUUGACGGUACCUAAUCAGAAAGCCACGGCUAACUACGUG
rnacentral:rRNA from 1 species